rnacentral:rRNA from 1 species
GACGAACGCUGGCGGCGUGCUUAACACAUGCAAGUCGAACGGAAAGGCCCUGCUUGCAGGGUACUCGAGUGGCGAACGGGUGAGUAACACGUGGGUGAUCUGCCCUGCACUUCGGGAUAAGCCUGGGAAACUGGGUCUAAUACCGGAUAGGAGCCAUUUUUAGUGUGAUGGUUGGAAAGUUUUUUCGGUGUAGGAUGAGCUCGCGGCCUAUCAGCUUGUUGGUGGGGUAAUGGCCUACCAAGGCGGCGACGGGUAGCCGGCCUGAGAGGGUGGACGGCCAUAUGGGGAGAGGUCUAGACGACAGCGAACGAGGGAGGUGAGGGGGAGGGAAGGACGCAGUAGGGGGGAAAGCGUGGGGAGGCGGCGCGGGGAGGGGGAGGAAUGCGGGUGUGUUGUAAACUUGUUUAGAGGGGGACAGUGCUUGUUGUGAGUGUACCUAGAUAAAAGGAACAGGCUAAGUACGGAACAGCAGCCGGGGAACUAGAAGGAAGAGAAUAUAUAUGAAC